UAUACAAGAAAAGAGAAGCACAGAAGAGGUGCAAGAUGAGGACUCUGCUUCCCCACAAUAUUAUGACUGGAUUCCAGAGGAUGAUAAGAUUUGGUUCAGCAAAAGAGAACUUUUAGAAGUCCUGCUUAAAGCAGAAACAGGACUCUUAAGUAAUUACUCUGCAGUGAGGAAAAUGAGAAUGAGAUACCAAAAACUGUAAAAAAAAUGUUUGUAUAUUAUUAAAACAUUUAUGAAUGUGAGGAUAACAUAUUUUUUAUAUUAAUAAAAAUGAAUAUAUGAUUUGAAUAAAA